AUAAAGAGCAGCUAGACAGCACACCUUACAAUGGUGCUGCUGCAGCGGCACAGCCGUGCCGUUGUAAGGUGCACCGUGCAGCCAUAGCCUAACAGAAAAGAAAAUGGUAAAGGGAAGCCUCUUAUUUCUGUUGUUGGUACUUUAUGCAAUCUCAACAAUAACCCCUGCAAACCAGGAAAGAUGUCACCUCUAAUUUAGCAGGAUCACAGGAUGAUCCCAAAUAGUUCCAUGACGGCUUUGUUCCAUGAAGUGUAAUUGUAGCCGUGUCAGCCCCAGGAUAAUAAAGAGACAAGUCAAACCUCCCUUGAGUCUUUGAUGCGCAGCAGGAGGAGUCCAGUCUCACCAUCCAGGAGCUGCCUGUAAUUGAAAUGAGAAAGUAGGUGAAACGCCAAGAUACCUGACACAUGUAAUGGGUAAUUAUUUUUUGGUUCUGUAUAAAAACAGAGACUUGAUCCAGAUAAAGAUCAGAUAGAUAUGACUUCACUGUGCUUUAUAAAUAUUAUGUAAUGCUCAAAUACAAAUAACAGAGAUUGAAGAUAUAGACUAAUCCUGAGCAUUUAUUUUGGAAUGAUUUCCAAAUUACUUCAGAUUCUUUGCAAGAACAGAAGUACCUUUGGGGCAAAAUGCUAUUUCAGACUAUGAAAAUCCUCCCAGGGAUCAAGAAGAGGAUAUUUAUGCUAACAAAUACUAUUACUAACACUGUACAUGGUACUAAAGAACUUACUAGAAUUCAUUGAGACUGUAGCAACUACUACUGCUUAAAUGCUCUUUGGCAAGGCAAUUCAUUUCAGUAGUCAUAUUUCUAUUCCAGUUAUAGAAACAGUUACUGGCAAAAUGAACCUUUAUAUCAAGGUCAGCUGUAUAGCCCAGGGGCUCUGUAAUGGGGCAGGUAUCUUUCAACUAUAGGUUGCCAGUUUGAAUUGAGUCCAAGUCUGUAGUGACUGGAAGUUGUUACCACAGAAUGACAGUUCAUUGACCUAAGAAAAAUGAGUUGGUGGAAAGCAGCUGAUUACCAUAGGCAACAUCACCAAAGAGGUGGAAGGAGCAAAUGGGCAAAGUGACUGAAAUACAUUAUCCCUGAGGAAGCAAUCUCUUCAUUUCAGGAUUGUGAGGUUUUAUGGGGUAGUUAGCUUUGCUGCUGCCACUACUAUGUGCACUAUACAUACCUAUGGAAAAUUUUAGUCAC